rnacentral:rRNA from 1 species
GUGACAGCAGCCGCGGUAACACGUAGGCACCAAGCGUUGUCCGGAUUUAUUGGGCGUAAAGAGCUCGUAGGCGGUUCGAUAAGUCGGGUGUGAAAACUUUGGGCUCAACCCAAAGCGUGCAUUCGAUACUGUUGUGACUCGAGUUCGGUAGGGGAGUGGGGAAUUCCUAGUGUAGCGGUGAAAUGCGCAGAUAUUAGGAGGAACACCGGUGGCGAAGGCGCCACUCUGGGCCGAAACUGACGCUGAGGAGCGAAAGCGUGGGUAGCAAACAGGAUUAGAAACCCCUGUAGUCC